UACGAAGGGGGCUAGCGUUGCUCGGAAUCACUGGGCGUAAAGCGCACGUAGGCGGAUCUUUAAGUCAGGGGUGAAAUCCUGGAGCUCAACUCCAGAACUGCCUUUGAUACUGGGGAUCUCGAGUCCGGAAGAGGUGAGUGGAACUCCAAGUGUAGAGGUGAAAUUCGUAGAUAUUCGGAAGAACACCAGUGGCGAAGGCGGCUCACUGGUCCGGUACUGACGCUGAGGUGCGAAAGCGUGGGGAGCAAACAGG
rnacentral:rRNA from 1 species